rnacentral:rRNA from 1 species
CCUACGGGUGGCUGCAGUAGGGAAUCUUUCACAAUGGGCGAAAGCCUGAUGGAGCAACGCCGCGUGAAGGAUGAAGGCCUUCGGGUUGUAAACUGCUUUUCUCAGCGAGAAAUAUGAUGGUAAUUUAUGAAUAAGGAUCGGCUAACUACGUGCCAGCAGCCGCGGUCAUACGUAGGAUGCGAGCAUUAUCCGGAGUGACUGGGUGUAAAGAGUUGCGUAGGGGGCAUAGUAAGUAGCUAGUGAAAUCUGGUGGCUCAACCAUUCAGACUGUUAGCUAAACUGUUAAGCUCGAGACCGUUAGGGGCAUCUGGAAUUUCUAGUGUAGGAGUGAAAUCCGUAGAUAUUAGAAGGAACACCAAUGGCGUAGGCAGGAUGCUGGGACGGUUCUGACACUAAGGCACGAAAGCGUAGGGAGCAAACGGGAUUAGAUACCCGGGUAGUC